rnacentral:rRNA from 1 species
UGGGGAAUCUUAGACAAUGGGCGAAAGCCUGAUCUAGCCAUGCCGCGUGAGUGAUGAAGGCCCUAGGGUCGUAAAGCUCUUUCAACUGUGAAGAUAAUGACGGUAGCAGUAGAAGAAACCCCGGCUAACUCCGUGCCAGCAGCCGCGGUAAUACGGAGGGGGUUAGCGUUGUUCGGAAUUACUGGGCGUAAAGCGUACGUAGGCGGAUUAAUAAGUUAGAGGUGAAAUCCCAGGGCUCAACCCUGGAACUGCCUUUAAAACUGUUAGUCUUGAGAUCGAGAGAGGUGAGUGGAAUUCCAAGUGUAGAGGUGAAAUUCGUAGAUAUUUGGAGGAACACCAGUGGCGAAGGCGGCUCACUGGCUCGAUACUGACGCUGAGGUACGAAAGUGUGGGGAGCAAACAGGAUUAGAUACCCUGGUAGUCCACACCGUAAACGAUGAAUGCCAGACGUCAGCAAGCAUGCUUGUUGGUGUCACACCUA